GUAACACUCUGGGAGGGCUCAGGCCACAUCACGAAAUGUGACAGGAUAGCCUUGAACUCAUCAAUUGCUGGGGGCACCUCAAACUCAACUCCAAAAUUGAUCUAAUGAACUUUCCCAAACCACAUUCCCUUCUUGCAUUUCUGAGAGAAUGGAUUCCCAUUCAUCUGACUACAGUGCUACCCUGAAAGCAGAUCCAGAGACUAAGAUUCACCUGCAGGUGAUUCAUUUGCAAGGUAAGCUGUCAUCAGUUGGAGGUAAGCGGAAGACAGUAGAGAGUACAGAGCCCUGGACUGUGACUCAGAGGAUGAGCACCAGAUCCAGUUUGCUGUGCCACAGUGUCCUGAAGAUUUUCCUCAGAUAAUCUUUCAUCUCUUUGUUCCUGAGACUAUAUAUUAGAGGAUUACAGAGUGGUGUUAUCACAGAAAAGAACAAGUGGAUUUUUAUCUGAGAUCUACAACUUAUGAAGAAUACAAAUGAUGUAUAUUCUUUUCUACUCUUCAUGUAUGGACUAGAGGGGCUUGCACAGUAGUAAGAAAAAAAUGGCUGAGACCCACAGGAACAAAGAAACAGGACAGGAGUUAGAUGCAGAGAAGAGAUUUCAACAAAAGUUUGGAAAAGAUGCUAACGGUAGCAUAUGAGUCACAGACAGAACAUUGGCACCUUUGUUUAAGAAACUGAAUGUUAAUGUCACAUCUGCCUUUGGAGAUUACAAAUGAAAUGGCUACCUUUCUACUGGAACCCUGACCAGAAGUCUGCCAGUUAGUAAGCUGGCUUAAGAGAUCAAUCUAAAAUUUACAUAAGGCUUUUGAAAAAAAGAAAAAAGAACCCAAAGGCACAGAUUGACGUUAUAAGUCCUGAUUUUUGACUUGACUUCUCAUCACCUGGAAGUGAAUAAAGCAGUAGACUUCUCUAACAUUUUGUAACACAGCAUGAAAAAAUAUAGAGUACAAAAGAUAUAUAUAUAUAAUAUGAUAAAAUGAUGAGUUACGUUUCUAA
rnacentral:lncRNA from 1 species